UGGCACUCAGUUCUCUGUGCCAGGGUGUAGCAACUGAUCUGAUUCUUCAGCUGGUGACCGCUAUGAGUGAGUUCAGAUGUGCUGAACAGACAGGCAGAAGAAUCCAGCACUACCACCAAUACUACUACUACUACUACUACUACUACACUAGGAGAGCCCAGUGAAAAGACUGUACAGACAAAUGCAUCGAUGAUCACUAUGAAAACGUUUUACGCAGACUUGUCAAAAUAAAUAAAAUAAGAGAUUAAAUUCACAUCGGGUCAUCAGUGUCAUCUUGAGAGGGGAAGCAUGAAGACGAAGCUAGGAUUUCAUUUUGGUGAUGCACGAGGAACAUUUAAAGGUAAGCACAGAUGUCUGAAGAUGGAAAGAUGGAUGGACCGAUCUGACAGCACAAAAUUACGCCAAGGUGAUUUCAACAUCAAUUUUGAUUUGGCUUCUUCUCCUCUAUUGACUGACUUUGUCACGUUCCUGGACUGGUCUGCAUCAAUCUGUCAACGUUCCCACUCGCACCCGUGGACACAACCUGGAUCUGCUCAUCACCGUGUUCUAAUCUCUGAGUCUCAGAUAUCUCUUUCUCUCUCUGACCAUUUCUUAAUCACUGCAAAUAUUAAUCUUCCCACACCUUCAGCUACUACUGAUACUGUUAUUUCCUUCUAUGUCAAAAAUCUGCUAAAUCAUAUAAUAAUUUUAGAAUGUGUCUCUUCUUCCCCUCUGACUGGCACUCUUCCAUCUUCGGUCGGUGAAGUACUUCUCUGAAAUCAUAUCACGGUAAACCAAAUAUUCUCUUCAAAAUGAUUGAUCAAAUCCUGCAUCCAGCCAUCGAUAACUCCUCCUCCCAUUCAUCCUCUCUUACCUGCAAUGAUUUCUCCUUUCUUUUGGAACAAAAUUGACACCAUUUAUUCUAUGCUGUCCUGCCAUAAACCCAGUAUAGUACCACCUUGACUCCCCUCUGAUUGCCCCUCCUGCUCUCUCUUCCUUCUCUCCUCUCCCCAUUACUGAUGUCUCCAGCCUGUUGUUGAAAUCA